rnacentral:rRNA from 1 species
ACAGCAGCAGCCACGGGAAUACGGAGGAUCCAAGCGUUAUCCGGAAUCAUUGGGUUUAAAGGGUCCGUAGGCGGUCUUGUAAGUCAGUGGUGAAAGCCCAUCGCUCAACGGUGGAACGGCCAUUGAUACUGCAGGACUUGAAUUAUUGGGAAGUAACUAGAAUAUGUAGUGUAGCGGUGAAAUGCUUAGAGAUUACAUGGAAUACCAAUUGCGAAGGCAGGUUACUACCAAUUGAUUGACGCUGAUGGACGAAAGCGUGGGUAGCGAACAGGAUUAGAUACCCCUGUAGUCCCUGUCUCUUAUAC